UUUUCUCACCCGAACCUCUCUUCUCCUCUCACGCUCGCGUCGGCGCUUCUCGUUGGGCGAAACCGCAGCAGCAAGUAAGGGGCGUUCCGGCGGCCAGCGAGGGUGUUCUCCGAAGAUUUCUUCACCUUCGUGAUCCCCUCGUUGAGAAGAGCAAGUGGGCGCAAGGAGAGGCCGAGAGCUCGAGUUCUCCCGAAGCCCUAGCUGCCUAAUCCGGAUUUGUAAGUCCAAGAAACGAAGUAUAAAGGUAAAGGAAAAGUGGAUCAGUAGCGGAGGCUGGAGGGCAAUGCUAUCAAGAUGUGUGUGGGCAGGAGUUGGAAUAAAGAUCUUUGGGAUCUAAACAGUUUUACUUCAGUAUUAGCACCUUGCGUUUUUAGUUUCCAUCAUUCAGUUUUGAUUGUUAAGUGUUAUGAGACAGUAAACCAUGCACUAUGUAGUAUGCCAGGUUUAGAAUGUUAGUAGUUUUAUAUUA